rnacentral:rRNA from 1 species
GGGCCCGCACAAGCGGUGGAGCAUGUGGUUUAAUUCGAUGAUACGCGAGGAACCUUACCAGGGCUUAAAUGUAGUCUGACAGGGGUGGAAACACCCCCUCCUUCGGGCAGAUUACAAGGUGCUGCAUGGUUGUCGUCAGCUCGUGCCGUGAGGUGUCAGGUUAAGUCCUAUAACGAGCGCAACCCCUGCCGUUAGUUGCCAGCAUGUAAUGAUGGGAACUCUAACGGGACUGCCGGUGCAAACCGCGAGGAAGGUGGGGAUGACGUCAAAUCAUCACGGCCCUUACGUCCUGGGCUACACACGUGCUACAAUGGCCGGUACAGAGGGCAGCCACACCGCAAGGUGGAGCGAAUCCUUAAAACCGGUCUCAGUUCGGAUCGGGGUCUGCAACUCGGCCCCGUGAAGUCGGAAUUGCUAGUAAUCGCGAAUC